rnacentral:rRNA from 1 species
GCUGAGGCCCCAGGAUGGGACCGCGGCCUAUCAGGUAGUAGGUGGGGUAACGGCCCCACCUAGCCUACGACGGGUACGGGCCCUGAGAGGGGGAGCCCGGAGAUGGGCACUGAGACAAGGGUCUAGGCCCUAAGGGGCGCAGCAGGCGCGAAGAUUCCGCAAUGCCCGAAAGGGCGACGGAGUGAACCCGAGUGCCACCCGCUGAGGGUGGCUGUUCCCCUGUGUAAAAAGCAGGGGGCAGGAAGGGGAGGGCAAGGCUGGUGGCAGCCGCCGCGGUAAAAUCAGCUCCCCGAGGGGUUCCCACGCACACUGGGCCUAAAGCGUCCGUAGCCGGCCCUGUAAGUCUGCAGUUAAAUCCGCCUGUAGACAGGCGGGUUGCUGCAGAUACUGCAGGGCUAGGGAGCGGGAGGAGCCGGGGGUAUUCCCGGGGGAGCGGUAAAAUGCGUAGAUCCCGGGAGGACCACCAGUGGCGAAGGCGCCCGGCUUGAACGCGUCCGACGGUGAGGGACGAAAGCUGGGGGAGCAAACCGGAUUAGAUACCCGGGUAGUCCCAGCCGUAAACGAUGCCGGCUAGGUGCUGGCCAAGGUUUCGGCCUUGGCCAGUGUCGAAGCGAAGGCAUUAAGCCGGCCGCCUGAGGAGUACGGCCGCAAGGCUGAAACUUGAAGGAAUUGACGGGGGGGCACCACAAGGGGUGAAUGCCUGCGGCUUAAUUGGACUCAACGCCGGGAAUCUUACCGGGGGCGACAGCAGGAUGAAGGUCAGGCUGAAGACCUUACCAGACGCGCUGAGGGGUGGUGCAUGGCCGUCGCCAGCUCGUGCCGCGAGGUGUCCUGUUAAGUCAGGCAACGAGCGAGACCCCCGCCCCUAGUUGCCAGCGGCCUCCUUCGGGAGGGACCGGGCAAACUAGGGGGACCGCCUCCGAAGAGGAGGAGGAAGGUGGGGGCUACGGCAGGUCAGUAUGCCCCUAACCCCCCGGGCCGCACC